rnacentral:rRNA from 1 species
GAUGAACGCUGGCGGCGUGCCUAAUACAUGCAAGUCGAGCGAACAGAUAAGGAGCUCGCUCCUUUGACGUUAGCGGCGGACGGGUGAGUAACAAGUGGGUAACCUACCUAUAAGACUGGAAUAACUCCGGGAAACAGGGGAUAAUGCCGGAUAACAUUUAGAACCGCAUGGUUCUAAAGUGAAAGAUGGUUUUGCUAUCACUUAUAGAUGGACCCGCGCCGUAUUAGCUAGUUGGUAAGGUAACGGCUUACCAAGGAAACGAUACGUAGCCGACCUGAGAGGGUGAUCGGCCACACUGGAACUGAGACACGGUCCAGACUCCUACGGGAGGCAGCAGUAGGGAAUCUUCCGCAAUUGGCGAAAGCCUGACGGAGCAACGCCGCGUGAGUGAUGAAGGUCUUCGGAUCGUAAAACUCUUUUAUUAGGGAAGAACAAAUGUGUAAGUAACUGUGCACGUCUUGACGGUACCUAAUCAGAAAGCCACGGCUAACUACGUG